UUUAUACUCACUCCAUCCAGAAAUACUUGUCAUCAAAAUGGAUAAAAGAAGAUGUAUCUAGACGUAUUUUAGUUCUAGAUAUAUCUUUUUUUAUUUAUUUUGAUGACAAGAAUUUCCGGACUGAGGGAGUAUUUA
rfam:Triticum aestivum genome assembly, contig: Triticum_aestivum_CS42_TGACv1_scaffold_033597_1BL